rnacentral:rRNA from 1 species
GAUGAACGCUGGCGGCGUGCCUAAUACAUGCAAGUCGAGCGAACAGACGAGGAGCUUGCUCCUCUGACGUUAGCGGCGGACGGGUGAGUAACACGUGGAUGACCUACCUAUAAGACUGGGAUAACUUCGGGAAACCGGAGCUAAUACCGGAUAAUAUAUUGAACCGCAUGGUUCAAUAGUGAAAGACGGUUUUGCUGUCACUUAUAGAUGGAUCCGCGCCGCAUUAGCUAGUUGGUAAGGUAACGGCUUACCAAGGCAACGAUGCGUAGCCGACAUGAGAGGGUGAUCGGCCACACUGGAACGGAGACGCGGUCCAGACUCCUACGGGAGGCAGCAGUAGGGAAUCUUCCGCAAUGGGGGAAAGCCUGACGGAGCAACGCCGCGUGAGUGAUGAAGGUCUUCGGAUCGUAAAACUCUGUUAUUAGGGAAGAACAAAUGUGUAAGUAACUAUGCACGUCUUGACGGUAACGAAUCAGAAAGCCACGGCUAACUACGUG